rnacentral:rRNA from 1 species
CGUAUCGGAAAGCUUCGGCCGGAAGAUGCGUUAUCUAGUGGCGGACGGGUGAGUAACACGUGGGUAACCUGCCUUAUGGAGGGGGAUAACAGAGAGAAAUCACUGCUAAUACCGCAUAAGCACACAUUGCUGCAUGGCAGAGUGUGAAAAGAUUUAUCGCCAUAAGAUGGACCCGCGUCUGAUUAGCCAGUUGGCAGGGUAAAAGCCUACCAAAGCAACGAUCAGUAGCCGAUCUGAGAGGAUGACCGGCCACAUUGGGACUGAGACACGGCCCAAACUCCUACGGGAGGCAGCUGUGGGGAAUAUUGCACAAUGGGGGAAACCCUGAUGCAGCGACGCCGCGUGAGUGAAGAAGUAUUUCGGUAUGUAAAGCUCUAUCAGCAGGGAAGAUAAUGACAGUACCUGACUAAGAAGCCCCGGCUAACUACGUGCCAGCAGCCGCGGUAAUACGUAGGGGGCAAGCGUUAUCCGGAUUUACUGGGUGUAAAGGGAGCGUAGACGGAGUGGCAAGUCUGAAGUGAAAACCCUGGGCUUAACCUGGGGACUGCUUUGGAAACUGUUAAUCUAGAGUGUUGGAGAGGUAAGUGGAAUUCCUGGUGUAGCGGUGAAAUGCGUAGAUAUCAGGAAGAACACCGGAGGCGAAGGCGGCUUACUGGACAAUAACUGACGUUGAGGCUCGAAAGCGUGGGGAUCAAACAGGAUUAGAUACCCUGGUAGUCCACGCUGCAAACGAUGAAUACUAGGUGUCGGGGUGCAAAGCAUCUCGGUG